CACUCCUGCGGGAGGCAGCAGUGGGGAAUUUUGGACAAUGGGCGAAAGCCUGAUCCAGCAAUGCCGCGUGAGUGAAGAAGGCCUUCGGGUUGUAAAGCUCUUUUGUCAGGGAAGAAACGGUGAGAGCUAAUAUCUCUUGCUAAUGACGGUACCUGAAGAAUAAGCACCGGCUAACUACGUGCCAGCAGCCGCGGUAAUACGUAGGGUGCAAGCGUUAAUCGGAAUUACUGGGCGUAAAGCGUGCGCAGGCGGUUUUGUAAGUCUGAUGUGAAAUCCCCGGGCUCAACCUGGGAAUUGCAUUGGAGACUGCAAGGCUAGAAUCUGGCAGAGGGGGGUAGAAUUCCACGUGUAGCAGUGAAAUGCGUAGAUAUGUGGAGGAACACCGAUGGCGAAGGCAGCCCCCUGGGUCAAGAUUGACGCUCAUGCACGAAAGCGUGGGGAGCAAACAGGAUUAGAAACCCGUGUAGUCCCA
rnacentral:rRNA from 1 species